ACCACACAGGCCCAGAGCUGCUGCCACGCCUUCUCAUUUUUGAGUGCCCCAGGGUAGAGAGGAACAGUGAUCAAUGUUUUCUUGCAGACAGCAAGGAGCUACCAAGGAUCAUCCCUUCCGGCCUGCCGCUGCCUUCCAGGAGGGCCUUAUACUCCAGUCAGGUUCUACAUCCUGAUUUUCUUCACGCGUCGCCUUCAGUCAACGUCAUCAGCAAUCACAUGUAUCACCUUGGUUCAGCACGCAUUUCUUGGAAGAAGCAUUAUCUGAAGUUGAAAGACCUGGGCUGGGUUCGAAUCCUGCUAUUCACUACUUGAGUGGCCUUGGUGCUGACGCAUUUAUCUUGGAAUUUUACCUGCCAGUUUAGAAAUCUGUAGUCCUUGUUGGACCUAAUUCUGGGGACAGUCUGUAAUCCUGCAAAGCCAGGAGAAAAGAAAAAGCUCUGCUUUGAGUUAGCGUUUGAACAUCCUUCACCAUAUCCCGUUUAAAGCUGGUGUAAGCAGCAUUCGUCUUUAUUUUCCCUAAAAGAAAAAAGCUUAAGCCCAUUUCCAAGCCCGAAGAUUGAGCUCAUCGCCCCGCGUCGGGACCGGCGCGGCACU